AGGGGUGUAUUUAUUAGAUAAAAAACCAAUGCCCUCCGGGGCUUUAUGGUGAUUCAUAAUAACUUCUCAGAUCGCAUGGCCUUGCGCCGGCGACGGUUCAUUCAAAUUUCUGCCCUAUCAACUUUCGAUGGUACGGUAGUGGCCUACCAUGGUUUCAACGGGUAACGGGGAAUUAGGGUUCGAUUCCGGAGGGGGAGCCUGAGAAACGGCUACCACAUCCAAGGAAGGCAGCAGGCGCGCAAAUUACCCAAUACCGAUACGGUGAGGUAGUGACAAUAAAUACUGAUACAGGGCUCUUUAGGGUCUUGUAAUUGGAAUGAGUACAAUUUAAACCCCUUAACGAGGAACAAUUGGAGGGCAAGUCUGGUGCCAGCAGCCGCGGUAAUUCCAGCUCCAAUAGCGUAUANUAAAGUUGUUGCAGUUAAAAAGCUCGUANUUGAACCUUUGGCCUGGCUGGCUGGUCCGCCUCACCGCGUGCACUAGUCCGGCCGGGCCUUCUCUCCUGGGGAACCGCAUGCCCUUCCCUGGGNUGUUGGGGAACAGGACUUUUACUUUGAAAAAAUUAAGUGGUCAAAGCANGCCUUUGCUCGAAUACCUUUACCUGGAAUAAUANAAUAAGACCGCGGUCCUAUUUUGUUGGUUCUAGGACC
rnacentral:rRNA from 1 species